UACGUAGGGGCAAGCGUUGUCCGGAAUCAUUGGGCGUAAAGAGCGUGUAGGCGGCUCGGUAAGUCCGCUGUAAAGUCCAGGGCUCAACCCUGGAAAGCCGGUGGAAACUGUCGAGCUAGAGUCCGGAAGAGGCGAGUGGAAUUCCUGGUGUAGCGGUGAAAUGCGCAGAUAUCAGGAGGAACACCAAUGGCGAAGGCAGCUCGCUGGGACGGUACUGACGCUGAGACGCGAAAGCGUGGGAGCAAACAGGAUAGAUACC
rnacentral:rRNA from 1 species